rnacentral:tmRNA from 1 species
GGGGGCGUACUGGUUUCGACCUGGGAAACGCGCCAGAGGCGGCAUGCCGAGGAUGGUUCGUGGGCCUCGUAAAUCAUCGGACCAAAAAUCAUAAGCCAACGAAGAAAUGGCACUCGCGGCCUAAAGCCGUCGCGACGUUCGCCCCUGGACACCGGCUACGGGGGACGAACGCAACAGUCGGUUAGGAUGGACGCGGAGACAGCGCGUGGACAUCUGAAAACAUUUCAUGCUGACUGGGUCGGUGGCUUCGAGUUCGGGCGCCAGCCAUCAGCCGAGAAUCUGCCCGGACUAAGCAUGUAGUCGCGGCUGGUUCGUCUGUCAGGGACGCGGGUUCAACUCCCGCCGCCUCCACCA